AGAGUUUGAUCCUGGCUCAGAACGAACGCUGGCGGCAGGCCUAACACAUGCAAGUCGAGCGAGACCUUCGGGUCUAGCGGCGGACGGGUGAGUAACGCGUGGGAACGUACCCUUUUCUGCAGGAUAGCCACUGGAAACGGUGAGUAAUACUGCAUACGCCCUUCGGGGGAAAGAUUUAUCGGAGAAGGAUCGGCCCGCGUUAGAUUAGGUAGUUGGUGGGGUAAUGGCCUACCAAGCCUACGAUCUAUAGCUGGUUUGAGAGGAUGAUCAGCCACACUGGGACUGAGACACGGCCCAGACUCCUACGGGAGGCAGCAGUGGGGAAUCUUAGACAAUGGGGGCAACCCUGAUCUAGCCAUGCCGCGUGAGUGAUGAAGGCCUUAGGGUCGUAAAGCUCUUUCGCUGGGGAAGAUAAUGACGGUACCCAGUAAAGAAACCCCGGCUAACUCCGUGCCAGCAGCCGCGGUAAU
rnacentral:rRNA from 1 species